rnacentral:rRNA from 1 species
AACGAACGCUGGCGGCGUGCCUAACACAUGCAAGUCGUGCGAGAAAGUUCCUUCGGGAGCGAGUAAAGCGGCGCACGGGUGAGUAACACGUAGGUAACCUGCCCCCCAGUCUGGAACAACUAGAGGAAACUCUAGCUAAUGCCGGAUGAGACCACGAUCCCUUCGGGGGUUGCGGCCAAAGAUGGCCUCUACUUGUAAGCUAUCGCUGAGGGAUGGGCCUGCGGGCCAUUAGCUUGUUGGUGAGGUAACGGCUCACCAAGGCUGUGAUGGCUAGCUGGUCUGAGAGGAUGACCAGCCACACUGGGACUGAGACACGGCCCAGACUCCUACGGGAGGCAGCAGGUGGGAAUAUUGCGCAAUGGGCGAAAGCCUGACGCAGCGACGCCGCGUGGGUGAUGGAAGGCCGUUCGGGUACGUAAACGCCCUGUCGCAGGGGAAGAAUAAGCAUCGGUAUAAUACGCCGGUGCCCUGACGGUACCCUGCAAGAAAGCACCGGCUAACUCCGUG